CCCGCCAGCCUCCCUCCCUCCGGCCGUCGAACCCCGCCGACCGCGGCCCGAGGCAUCCGCCCGCCCGCGGGGGAAGCCGGUCCGACGGCAGCGCCGCCCGGGCUGCAGAGCCCGGCCGCCAUACCUGCACUUUCCUCCGCCCGGCUGUGUUCUGCCGGUGAUGGGCCGCCAUCUUGCAUGUUGACACUCCGACGUCACUUCCGGGAGCGGCCGGCGCCGGCGGAUGUCCCGCCCUGGUUCCCUCGGUUGGGCAGGACGGAGUUCGUGACCUGUGACUCUGAACAUACUAAGUGUACAACUGAAGAACGUUAACUGGGGGCUGGAGAGAGGGCUCAGCAAUGAAGAACGCACACGGCUCCUGCAGGAGAGUCCGAGUUCAGUUCCCAGCAGAUCACAGUCAUCCAAAAUUCCAGCUCCCGGGGAUCUGACACGCCCUCUUCUGGCCUCUGUGUGUACUGCAUCCUCAUGCAAACACCCACACGCAGACUGGAAGUCAGCAAGUGACGCCGUGGUCUCUGUCUCGGAGUUGGUGUCACAGGAUGCAGGGGACACACCUGGGAGCUGGUGUCACAGGAUGUCCAGGGCACCUGGCUUGUUAUGUGGCUGUUAGGACCCGAACUCUGUGGAUGUCGUAUCACUGGAUGCUUCAAGUCCCUGCCACCCCGACGUCUCCUGCACUGAUGGGGUGAACGUGGCACUGUUAGCAAGAGCUGUGUACUGCAGACCCAUCUCCCCAGCACCGAAUCUCUCCAGCACCGAAUCUCUCCAGCACCGAAUCUCCCCAGCACCGAAUCUCCCCAGCACCGAAUCUCCCCAGCACCGAAUCUCCCCAGCACCGAAUCUCUCCAGCACCGAAUCUCUCCAGCACCGACUGUGUCACCUGCUGUUUCAAAUCCCACCCAAAGGUGGCCAGUGAGCCCGUGCCACCUGCCUCUGGGAGCCCGGGGUACGAGCACGCUACCACGCCCCGUUUCUGAUGUGGGCUCCGAGGACCGCUCUCAGGCGUUCGCCUUGCAUGUGGAGCAUUUUACCAACUGAGCAGCUGUCUCCCUAGCCCAGCACUUAGCUUUCUUUAGGUGAGACCAAUGGAGUGGGGCCCAGGCAGGGAACGGAGGGCGCUCAGAGCCAAGAGCACCACCACACGGCUCCCAUCCUCUGUUCUUCGAGUUACUGUGACUGUCAAUGGCUCCAGCUUCGCAGGGGACCAGAGUGCAGUUUUGAGGUAGGGUCUCCUGUCUCCUGUGUGAGCCUCCUGGAUCUGUCUUCUGUGCUGGGAUUAGAGGUGUGAGCCACCACACUCAGUUGGAGAGGCACGGCUUCAACACGAGUGAAGGCAGACCCGACGCCCGGGUUUCGUCCCUGGAACUCAUGUAGAGGUGCACGUGUUCUCCUGGAACCUCCAGCCCAGCUCUAGUUCUCAUUCUCCAAAUGCAGCCCUCUCAGAGAACCACGGAAAAAGCCCAGUUCUGCACUCUCGGUGCUGGGGCGGCUCCUCCCCCAAGGCUGCUGGCUGCUCAAGACCCGGCCUAUCCUGAUGGGACGCAAACCCAGCUUUUGGAGGACACUUUGUCUCCCCACCUUGCAUCUACAGGGUACUUAAACCUCCUCCCCCAGAGCGGUCAUGUGACCUCUCUUAUGUCCCCUCUCCCCACUUCAUCUCUGGGGGCCGAAGAGUCACCUGGAGUGCUUUGCCCAAUAAACCUGGUCUUUUACUUUUUAA